rnacentral:rRNA from 1 species
AUUGAACGCUGGCGGAAUGCUUUACACAUGCAAGUCGAACGGCAGCACGGACUUCGGUCUGGUGGCGAGUGGCGAACGGGUGAGUAAUGUAUCGGAACGUGCCCAGUCGUGGGGGAUAACGUAGUGAAAAUUACGCUAAUACAGCAUACGAUCUAUGGAUGAAAGCGGGGGAUCGCAAGACCUCGCGCGAUUGGAGAGGCCGAUAUCAGAUUAGGUAGUUGGUGGGGUAAAGGCCCACCAAGCCAACGAUCUGUAGCCGGUCUGAGGGGACAAUCGCCAACGAUAGAACCGAGACACGGUCCAGACUCCGACGGGAGGCACCAGUCGGGAAGUUUGGACAAUGGGUGAAAGCCUGAUCCAGCCAUUCCGCUUGCAGGAUGAAGGCCCUCGGGUUGUAAACUGCUUUCGUACAGAACGAAAAGGUUUCUACUAAUACUAGGAGCUCAUGACGGUACUGUAAGAAUAAGCACCGGCUAACUACGUGCCAGCAGCCGCGGUAA